rnacentral:rRNA from 1 species
CCUACGGGUGGCAGCAGUGGGGAAUAUUGCACAAUGGGGGAAACCCUGAUGCAGCAACGCCGCGUGAGCGAAGAAGGCCUUCGGGUCGUAAAGCUCUGUCCUAAGGGAAGAAGCAUGACGGUACCUUAGGAGGAAGCCCCGGCUAACUACGUGCCAGCAGCCGCGGUAAUACGUAGGGGGCGAGCGUUAUCCGGAAUCACUGGGCGUAAAGGGUGCGUAGGCGGCCCUGCAAGUCAGGAGUUAAAUCCCUCGGCUCAACCGAGGUCAGCUCUUGAAACUGUAGGGCUUGAGUGCAGGAGAGGAGAGUGGAAUUCCCAGUGUAGCGGUGAAAUGCGUAGAUAUUGGGAGGAACACCAGUUGCGAAGGCGGCUCUCUGGACUGUAACUGACGCUGAGGCACGAAAGCGUGGGGAGCGAACAGGAUUAGAUACCCUGGUAGUC